AGCCUUGUGUCCACGAUGCUAGAAAUCCGUCCGAGAUUUCGGAUGAAGAAAGAAUUGACCAAUCGCAUCAUUUUUACGUAAAAAUGAUGCGAUUGGUCAAUUCUUUCUUCAUCCGAAAUCUCGGACGGAUUUCUAGCAUCGUGGACACUGGGCU
rnacentral:pre_miRNA from 1 species